rnacentral:rRNA from 1 species
UAUGUGAUCGUCUCUCGCAUAUCAAUAAGCGGAGGAAAAGAAACUAACAAGGAUUCCCCUAGUAACGGCGAGUGAAGCGGGAAGAGCUCAAAUUUGAAAUCUUAAAGGGUUUCCCUUUACGAAUUGUAGUUUAAAGAAGUGUUUUCUGUUGAGGUUUUGGUAAAAGUUCUUUGGAAUAGGACAUCAUAGAGGGUGAGAAUCCCGUAUUUGACCUUUACUUUCAACUUUGUGAUACACUUUCAAAGAGUCGGAUUGUUUGGGGAUGCAGUUCAAAAUGGGUGGUAAAUUUCAUCUAAAGCUAAAUAUUGGCGAGAGACCGAUAGCGAACAAGUACCGUGAGGGAAAGAUGAAAAGAACUUUGAAAAGAGAGUUAAACAGUACGUGAAAUUGUCAAAAGGGAAGCGUUUGACACCAGUGUUGUUUUUCUGAAAAUCAAUUAAAGAACUGUUUAUGCUAAGCUGUUUAGACUUUAUCAGCUAUCUGUUUAGUUUUGAGCUUUUCUUUAAUGCACUUUUCAGUUAACAAGUCAACAUCAAUUUCUUUUGCUGUAAAAAAGCUUGAGGAAGGUGGCUUGAGAUUCGUCUUAAGUGUUUAUAGCCUCUUGCCUAUGCAGUCGGAGAGAUUGAGGUCUGCAGCGUAGAUCCUUCGGGGCUAAAUGCAUUUGUGCUAAGUUAUAGCAUUUUAUAGACAACUUGUUGACUAUGAUUUGUCUUGUAGCUUACUCGCUUAUGUUAUUUUACCUACGCUUAGGAUGUUGAGCGCAUGUCUCUCUCU